UAGGGGUUCACUGGACCAGACCAGAUUGCAGAACACAUAGCAGGCACGACCCUUAGCCAUUCUGCCGUCGCCGUCGGGGUGGCGGCCAUGGGCUUCCCGCACGGCGCGGGUUCGCCCGGCCCCUCUCCCCACAAGACCACCACCGCAACAGCCCGGGUCUCGUUCUGGGGGCGAAAGGAGGCGCUGCAGUAAGCGGCCGAGUCGAGGGUUAGGGAGCUGGAGGUGCUGUUCAUCAACUGAAUAAACUGCAUGAUGAUAAUGAUCUUGCCACAUGCAUGAUAUAUUUGUCAUAUGUGUGCAGUAUGUACAUCGAUGAUCGAUCUUACCAUCCUCGGAGGCAGCGGUGAAGUUUUCCAUCCGAAUGAGCGAGUAUAUCUCGAACGCGUUGAUGAGCGGGGGCAGGUCUGAGCCGCGCGUCUUAUUCAAGGUGUAGAACGCGUCGCCGUUAUACAAGAAUUGCCCGCUGUCAUACAAGCUGUUGGCCUGUAAAAGGGACGGGGAGAAGCCUCGGUGCAGCAAAUCGCCGGCGUUGUAGAUGUCGAACCUUCUGUUCGGGUUGCUACCAUUGAUUUCAGCAAAAUGGAAGAUCGGGAGAAGGCGGACACUCUUGGAGUCGACAUUGUUCUUUUCCAUGGUAAGCCACAUGGAGGUGUAGCUUGGGUCUAGGGUCAUGGCUUCCUGGAAGAUGGCCAUCGGCACAUUGAAGUAGUCGUUGCCCGGGAGAAUCUCCACUUGACUGCUAGUGUUCAGGUUGAUCAAGGGGUACGAGUUGUAUUGCCACUGCUCCCAGAACCGGUCAUAUGGGUCCAUGGGAUAUCUGCAUCGUACACAAAAGACAAGGGAAAUCAUGUAAA